UUUACUUUUUUUUCAAAACUCUGUUUAUCAUAUUCCGCCGAAGCCAACAUUUUCUGUUGCACAUAUUCCUCCAAUACAUCAAAAUUUAUAAAUUCAUUCUCAAAAUCAAUUAACCUUAAUAGUUCCGAUGGCACACAAUGCUGCCGACGAGUGAGAAGAGUUAGAGGUGCAACUCCAGUAACUCUAUGAGGCGUGCAAUUAAACGAGAGUUGCAAUGCUUCAAGAGCAGUCUGCCAGUUUUCGGUAAUGUCCAUAUGUACUACUUGAAAUGCUGCCGUGGGUGUCUGGAUUGGAUGAAGUCGUACUUGUUGCUACCUGACGAAUUUUUUGAUGUUCUGCAAAUUAUAAAAUUUUCAACAAAUCUUCUGAUUAAAGUAA